rnacentral:rRNA from 1 species
CCUACGGGAGGCAGCAGUAGGGAGUUUUCGGCAAUGGGGGAAACCCUGACCGAGCAACGCCGCGUGAGUGAUGACGGCCCUAUGGGUUGUAAAGCUCUGUUGUAAGGGACGAAUGGCACUUCUAGGAAAUGAGAGGUGUUUGACGGUACCUUACCAGAAAGCCACGGCUAACUACGUGCCAGCAGCCGCGGUAAU